rnacentral:rRNA from 1 species
UACAGAGGGGGCAAGCGUUGUUCGGAAUUACUGGGCGUAAAGGGCGCGUAGGCGGCCUUCUAAGUCGAACGUGAAAUCCCUGGGCUCAACCCAGGAACUGCGUCCGAUACUGGAAGGCUUGAAUCCGGGAGAGGGAUGCGGAAUUCCAGGUGUAGCGGUGAAAUGCGUAGAUAUCUGGAGGAACACCGGUGGCGAAGGCGGCAUCCUGGACUAAUACUGACGCUGAGGUGCGAAAGCGUGGGGAGCAAACAGG